AGUUAACACAGCAGCAGUAGCUGGGCAGAGGGAGAAGAGAGACCUGCAGGCCAAUCACAGAGAGCUUCUCCCCGGAGUCCCCGCCCCCUGCAAAGCACUGCUGGGAAGAAGACUGGUGGUGUGCAUGUGGGCUGAGAGUUCUGCAGGGUGAGAGCAGAGGCAGCAGAGCCAGCCAGCCCACAGCAAAGUAGCAUUGAACAGAGGGGCAGCUGCUGGGGAGAGAGAGAAAACUCUGCAAAAAGCCGCGAUCGCAGCUACCGCUGCGGGGAUGAGGGAUCUAUUGCCGGCAAAGUCUGCAUAGUGACCUGCAGAUACUGGGAGCUGCUGUGCAAUGCUGUGGUGUGUCCUCAUCAUUCCAGUGGCUGUUCCGUGGCUGGCAGUGUCUCUCCUCUGCAACCCAGUCCCCAUGGUAACCGGAGCGAUGACGGGGUGGAGCGCGUUGCAAUUGACACAGGAUGAUGACGUCAUCCUUCCCAGCUGACGUGACCGAGCCGAGGGACGAGUACACGUGUAAUGGUGAGGGUAUAAAGGUAUUAACAUGGCACCGGGCAUAGAAACAAAACAAACCUUAUACAACAUAAUGACGGUUAGGAAGGAUCACAUUCAGAAUUGGUUUAAAAAUGGACUUCAACACAGAUUCAUUGUUGCCCGUGUGGAAUUGAAAUAAAAAAACAAACAAACCCCCCCCCCCCCCCCCCACCAGGGUGAUGUUGACUGCAGUAGGAUGACGAAAAACAGAUCUGUUCAGCCAGUCACCUGUAAACAAACA